ensembl:lncRNA
GUGCAUUUUACUGUUUUGUAUUUUCAUUUUUGGAGAUAGUGUCCACAGCAGGUAAUGACGAGUAUGAUGAGUGUUGUGCUGUUUGCUUUUGCAGUAUAAUAUAUAGUUCUAAAUGUUUACUGUAUAUACGAUAUUCAUUAUAGGCUAGCAUGCUUGUUUUAAAGACUGUCAUUCUAGUUUAUUAAAAUCUGAAUGUAAGAAAACCUGGCUAUUCAAAUGUGAAUUGAAAAAUGUUCCAUUCUCAGUACUGAACUAUUUCCAUUGAGCAUUCAGGAUUUUUGACAAAACUGAUAUCAUCAAGAAGGCAAUAGCUAGAGAAAGAGAGAGUGUGUGAGUGAGUGAGUGUGUGUGUGUGUGUGUGUCGUGUUAUUUGAGUGUUUGCCCAUCUGUGAAGGUCCUGAUUUGUGACCAUCAGUGUCUUUUUAAUGUGUCUGUAAAACUUCUAGGACUUCAGGGGACAUUUCAUGCGCUGUCUUCGUGCUCUUCUGAGCAUCAUAAGUACUUUCCAAGAAUUCUGAAUGUGAAUUCCUAGAAAUUUCAGUAGAGAAGAAAAUAACUAUUAUUUCAUUAUAAAUCAAGUUCAGGUAAAAGGAAAAAUUACUGAUUCAUCAAAAUUACAGGAUCUCAUUAAUGUUAGCUAAGUAAAUAUAAUUUUUAAAGGCUCAUUUUUUUUUUAGUACUUCAUGUAUUUCCCCUUUACACAAGAGCAUGUCAUGCAAUUCUUAUAUGAUGAAGAUUUAACUAGUAAAAAUUGUUUUUAAAUUAAACACCUGAACUAGUUAAAAUUCCACCUAAGAAGAGUAUUUAAAUGGCAUUUUUCAUAUCUACCUCUUUGUCAUUGCUGCCAUUUUUGACUCAAGCAAAUCUUUAUGACAUCGAAAAUAGUGGUUGGAUGCAGUUUAAAAAAUCUUUGUUGGUGCUUUUCUCAGGCUAUGUCAUUUAAGUUAUAUUGAACAAAGGUGUUCACAGAUUAGAUCGAAAGGCUUCGAAUUAAUUUUUAUUUUCUUUUGCAAGAACUGCUUAAAAUUUGUCAUCCAUGUUGAUAGUGAGCUGGAGAUAAUCUCUGGUUAGUAUAUGUCUAUGUAAUGUUUUCAACCAAGAGCCGAGUUGUUACUGAUUUACAUGGGAAAGGAGCUCUGAUUUCCUUCAGCUUACUUUAUCCUUUGAAAGCUGUUUCAAGGCUAUUCAGUACAUAAUCAUUCAUUUUAUUUGCUCAGAAGUUGUCUCUGUUACUGUGUUCUUUGUUUAGUCAUUUAUAUAAUUGUAGUAUUUUGUUUUAACACUGGGAUUCAGGUUGUACAAAAAUAGUAGCUGACAGAAAUUGUAUGUAUAUUUUUCUGAAAUAUCUCAAUUCCUUAAAUUCAUUUUAGAGGAAGGUCCAGAAAACUAACAUAUCUGUGUUUAAAAACAAAGGUCAGGUUCUUUGUAGAUGAUUUGAAUCAUUUGACUUUUGUUCCUGAAAGUUUUUAAUUGGCCAUAUAUCCAUCAUCCAGCUGGAUCUUAGUGUCAUUCCUAGGGACACCAGGUUCACAAAGUCUGUUCACAAACAGACUGCAUCUUUUUUUUUUUUAUCAAAAAAACAAAAACAAAAACAAAUAUAAAGCCAAACAGAGAUCUCUAGAUCCCAUUUACUUAUUCUAGCAGUAUUCCUGAAGUGGUGCUUAAGCGUCAGAAUUUUCUGGAUCUUUGCUAGUCAAGAUUUAGAUUUGAUUUAACUGGGACCACAUGCCUGUCAUCCCUCUGAUGCAAAUUAGAAAGUUCAUUUUAUUUCAGAUUAACUCUAAUGUCUGCCUGGGUUUUUAGCAGGCCGUGAACCAGUGAGUGCCUUGUUAAUGUAGAAUGAUUUUUCCCUGGUUGUGUGUUAGCUCCUCUCUGAAAAUUUCUCAGAGGAUGGUAUUUUAGUUGGCUUGUAGAAAGCUGCUAGAUUUGGUAUUAUCAGCAAUCAGAAAGCCUUCAGUCUACCACAUUCCACCCUCCCUACUUUCUUCUCAUUGUUUGGCUGAAAUUUACCUCUUGUGAGAAAUAAAUGCAACCCCCUUCUCAUAACUUUUUUCCAAUCCAGAUUAAGAGAUAUCCUUUAUACCUAUCCCAACUAUAUAAUCUAAUAGCUGUUUUUUGUUUUUAGGAAGAACCACUUCUUUGUAAUCCUGUAAUCCACUGCUUGUUUUAUGCUUCUCAAGUUCAGUUUACUAGAGCUGACCUCAGGGCAUCAGUUCAGAUUCCUAAACAGCUCCUUUUCUCCACACCCCUUCAUCCCUCUAACUGGUGAGCCCUGAGCCAGAUGGUUUGAUCUUCAGGUAUUUUAAAUAUUAAGUAUAUCAAUUAAUGUAAAUUAAUCCAAAUGCUAAUUUUUGUGGUGCAAGAAGUUUCUCUUGUAAAUUCAGGAUAUGGAUAAGCUAAUUAAGAUAUCCUUUUUUGGUGACUCUAAGUGUAUUAUUUGUUUUUAAAUAAAGUGUACAAAUAUAGAUAAGGUGUCUCAUGAAUUGAAAUAUUUGUCAGAAUGGAAUCUAGUGGAUUUGCAGUUAAAAUACUUCAAUACAACUUGAUUUUGUUUGGUGGGGAGGUAGUAAAAGGGUGCAGCAAAAUAAAAGUGUAUUAGGUAAAGUAGAUGUGAAUCCACAGAGAUAAACCAAUCUUAAUUAUUGAUUGUAAGGAAGGUGGAGAAAUUUAUUGUUAUAGAAACUUUGGACCUUUGGAAAGCCAGUAAAAUUAAAAUGCCCCAUACAAUUGGAUCAUGAUAUUUUUAGGGACACAUAUAUAUUUUUCCUAAAGUAUUCAGUUACAUAACUUUAAAAACCCUAUACACACAUACACAUAUAAAUCUAAUGUGCUUUUACUUAUUUUUUUGUUUGGUUACUUAACAAGCAUAAGCCUUCUGCCCCUUGCUCCUUCAAAUCAACAGUAUUUUUCAAGGGCUUCCCCUGCCCAGAGCUUGACAGUCUCUUUGUUCCAAUCUGGAGUCACAAUACUAUACAGAAUCUAAAAAGUACCUCUUCUGGUGUCCUUGAAACUAUCCACUCUUCUGUGAUGUUUCGUAUGCUGCUGUAGUGUUCUAUGCUUUGGUAUGUACACAUGCUUCAGUAUUAUCAGAAAUGUCUCUUUUAUCCCUUGUAAUGAGAAUUGAGCCAUGAUUUGCUGGAGUUACUAUAAUCUAGCUCAGAAGGUCAAGAUGGCGCCAGAAGUGUUUCAUCGAUUGAUGGACCCACUGGGGUCAGCCCAGGUUCACAGUUGCAUUUUAACCUCCGUUGGGUUUUCCAAAGGCACCACUAAGAUGUUAAGGGAUCCUAGGUUGUCCUGGCACCAGAGUAUUCCCCCAGGAACACCUGUAAGUCUGGUAGCAGCUUUACCUCAAACACUAUAACCACAGUGCAUCACUUCACUUGUUACUUCUCAGUUACAACUGUUGCUUAUGAUGAUGGGGAUGCUUUAGUUCUGUGGAGAAGCACUGGCAUGCAACUCUUAAAAUUAUAUUCCGUAUUUUCUGAAACACAAACUUCAGUUUAUUUUGUAUACUUUUCAAAACAAAACAUAAUCCAAAACCUGCCUAAUAGAAAAUUACUUACUUUAAGUUUCACUAAGAUCUUACAGAACCCUAAGCCUUUUCUUAUUCCUUAGUUGAUACUAUAUUAAAGGUAAUGGUGGUUUUGGUCAGACUUGGAGGAAUAAAAUCUGCAAUAUCUUUCCCAUCAGAAUGGUAUAUUUCAUAGAAAAUUCUCUUGUCCCUGGUGUUUUAGCCAGUCACCUUACAGGCAGACUGGUCUAGAUGCUUACUUAAUGUAGACUUCCUUGUGCCUCUUUAAAGAGAUAAUUAAUCCAGUGGGCUAGCCUGGUGGCUCAGACGGUGAAGAAUCUGCCUGCAAUGCUGGCAAUCUAGGUUUGAUCCCCAGGGAGGGAAGAUGCCCUGGAGAAGGGAACGGCAACCCACUCCAGAAUUCCAUGGACAGAGGAAUCUGAUGGGCUAUAGUCCAUGGGGUCGCAAAGAAUCAGACAUGACUGAGCAGCUCACACACACACACACACAGUCAGCAAAAUAUUUGUUAAAUAGCACUUAAGAGUACUAGAGUUAGUAUUGUUAAUUCAUGUGCCAAAGUUUUUCAUGCCCUCAUAAGAUCCAGGGGGUGUAUCGGGUUUCCAAUUUAUAAUCUCAAACCAAAGAUAUUUUUUAAUUACCUCAUAUAAUAGCACCAUCAAAUUAAGGGUAAUGGUAGGAAGCCCAUCAUUCACAAAUGAGAAUUCCCAAACUGAAGAACUUUGAUUUUAAAAAAAAAUGCAUUCAUGGAAAGCAAAAUUCAAUGUUAGGCAUAAGCAUGUGUUAAGAAAAUAAGCAGCUUGUGGUUUAUAUAAUGUGUUAGAAACGUUACUGUAUAUUGACAUCCACCUACUCUUUCCUUAUAGCAGGAAAUCAAGGCAGUUGUUGAGUUGCUAAGUUGUGCCCAACUCUGCGACCGCAUGGACUGCAGCAUGCCAGGUUUCCCUGUCCUCCGCCAUCUCCUGGAAUUUGCUCAGGCUCAUGUCUAUUGAGUCGGUGAUGCCAUCCAACCAUCUCAUUUUCUCUCUUUGUCCCCCUUUUCUCUUUUUGCCCUCAGUCUUUCCAAGUAUUGGAACCUCAUUGGGUCUUUUCCAGUGAGUCAGUUCUUCGUAUCAGGUGGCCAGAGUAUUGGAGCUUCAGCAUCUGUCCUUCCAAUGAAUAUUCAGGAAUCAAGGCAGUAGUUUUUCAUAAAUAAGGUUAACUUACAUUAGAGCAAAAGAAAUUCAUCAGAAAGUUUGUUCUGGGUGUUGGAUAACUUGGGUGAGAGCGUAGGGGAAGAUGAACCUCUGAUCUGAACCCAUCACCCAUUGUUUUCCUUUCCCUUUAAAUGGCCUGGAAAGAUGACCUCUAAGGUCCUUACGGUCUCUCAAAGUGAAUGGUUCCAGUUCUGGUUUCUUUAUCAUUGAUUCCUGUUAUAUAAAUUAACAAUUUUUAGGGAAUACAUCAAAAUAUCCUGGAGUUCCCUGGUUAAACUGUCAGAUGACAUAACUUUGUAUUGUAGGAAGCUAUAUUAAGAGAGGCCCAGAUACACUGUGUCAUCUGCAUAAGUCAGAAGGAAGACCAGGCAUGUAAGAAAUGUCCUAAUUUGACCAAGUAGUAAUCUUAUGAAAAGAUUAGAAUCAUUUUAAUAGGAUGAGUUCUAUUUUGAAUGAUUCUGACUGUGCUUUUAGAAUCAUUUAAAAAAAUAUUUUUAUCUUUUUCUACAGACUUUGAGCCCACAUGUUUCAGAAUAUCCUAUUGAUGGAGUUAUUUCACUCAGCGUAUAUUUUAGAAAAAGAACAGAGUGGUCUCGUAUGUCUUUCUGAUAGUCAUUUAUGGAUAACACUCCUGACCCCCACUCCCUACCAAUACCCAAGUGCCAUGUAGGAAUUCUUCCAUAUGUUGUAAAUAUCUCAGCAUUUUGCUGAUUGGAAAAGCAGUAUUUUUAUACAUAGCUUGCAGGUAAACCAUGGAGCCUUGUGCAUUUGAUGCGUGUUAAAAUGUAUGGAGCAUUAAGAUAGAGCAUGUGUAGCACAUAAAUAAUGUUAAUCGUGUCCCUUGAGAGUGAACAAGUCAAGAUUAGAUCUUGCCAUUCACAGAUUUUGAAAAUACUCAUGUUUAGCCAAAAUCAGUUCAUUUAAUUGGACACUGUUUUUCAAUGAAAUAGUACCUGUUCAAUUUCCUUGUGUGUCUCAGAGUCAGAAGAAAUGAGGCUUUCUCCCAAAUCUAGAACAUUCAGACUUCCUUUUAUUCCUUUGAUCAGCCUUUUAAACAAGCAGGACAAUAAGUUACUUAAUUCUCUUGUUGUGAGAUACCUUGGAAUAUAUAUGUAUUGAUUGCAAUUUAAGAAAAUAAAGCUUGCAAGCAGACCUUUUUCUCUUUCGAAACACUAUUGCUUUCUGGAGGCAGAAAUUUUACUUUCAAACUGGAAGAUUAUAGAUCCAGGCAGUUUUAUACCCGCAAUGUAUGCAAGUUACAUAUAGCUUGCCUCUACAGAUAAUCAUGUUUUAUUUUUGUGUGAAUUUUAGAAAUUGUUUUCAGGGUACAAAGAUUGGCAAGGAAGAUACAGUAAGUCUGAUUUACAUAUAUUAUCUUUCAAAAUCUUGUGGAUUUUUUUGAGGCGUGAAGAACAGGCAGUGAUGUGUUUUAUUCUGAAUGCCUUGAUUCUAAACUCAUUCUCAACUCAGAUUUUACCAAUUAGUUAUUGCUCAUUUGUCACCUAAAAAAUAGAAGGUAAUGACUUUUUGUUUGCCGCUGUCUCUGUAAGCUCCUUGAGGCAGGGACCAUGUUUAUUUUUCUUAUAUUCCCUUUAACACCUCUCCCGGUGCCUCACCAUAUAGAAAGUAUCUGAUAAAUAUUUAUUGGUUGAGUGACUGGAGAACACUUCUUAAAACUCUAAAUCUAUCCAGAACGUCAAAGACAAAGGUGGGGUGGGGGGAAGUGUCCCUGCCAGGUGAUCUCAGGUGUAUUUAGGUAUGUGGAGCUGGUGCUGAGAUUGGGUCUGCACCUUCCUUGGGAGAAAUUUGGACCUCACCUGGAAGGUGACAACAGAAUGCCCAAGGCAGCUCCCUCUUCUGUUGUCCAUUUCCGAUUUGCCGCCUUUGAACCUGAGCAAACCGUGUAGGGAAGUAGGUGGUCUCUAUAAGUCCUCUUGUGUCCCUUUUGUCCCCCUAACUUCGUGAACACUAACCCACUGGCCUCUGAUGCCUUGAUAGGGGACUCUCCAACCUGGAAGCUGACCCUGCCUUGACCAGCUUGGGCCCAGACUAUGCACUACUCUUCCCCUGUGACCCUCAGAUAGUCCUGCUCUCCCUGUCUUUUUUUCUCUCCUAAGAGGUAGGAAGCUUCCUCUAGUAGAACGUUGUCAGGAAAGGCAUUCCUCUGGGGAGUGUAGAGCAAAAUCCCUCAGGAUGCUCUUAGGGCUGUUUUUGUCUUGAAGAUUUGAUGCAGUUAUCUAAAUGUUUAUUCCAACUUCUAGAAACAGUUGUGUUGUCUUGAUUUGUAGCUGCCAGUCCAUCAGGGCCCAGGAGGCUUGAGGUGUUGAGCUGAACAGCUUAAUUACUGUAGGCAUAAAAGAGUCAACUAAUUAGACUUAGGGUAGGGUAUUUGUAUUUAACAAUCAAAUGACUUUCAAAUCAUUAAUAGAAUUAUCGAAGAGUAGUAAAUUAUGUUACUGAAUUUAUUUGACUAAGCCUCAAAAUGAUAUUAAACCUAUGUAUUAGGUGAGAACUAUUAUGUCCUUUUCAAUUAUUAAAAUAUGAUUCCUUUACGGUCAGUAUAGCACAGAGGAAAGAACAAAAUUCUGGCCUGGUCGCAGGACAUUUGUUGUCCGUGAAGCUUUAGGUAAGCUAAUCUGAGUUGGUUUGUCAUCUAUGAAAUGGGUAUCAUAGAUCUGCCUACUUAGAUAACACCUGAUAAAAUGUCAGACAGUAAUAAGCAUCCAAGAAAUAACUGUUAUUCACUGCUUGAUUUCAAUCUUUCCAUGUAAUUCGGGCUUCCCUGGUGGCUCAGAGGGUUAAUCGUCUGACUGUAGUGUGAGAGACCUGGGUUCAAUCCCUGGGUCGGGAGGAUCCCCUGGAGAAGGAAAUGGCAACCCACUCCACUCUUGCCUGGAAAAUUCCAUGGGCAGAAGAGCCCAGUAGGCUACCAUGUAAUUCACAGUCUUGAUAGCUUCUGAAAUACCAGGUUUUUAGGCGAAAUAAGGUUAAAAGGAACCUCAAGAGGAGCCCUAAAGAAGUUAUACAUAAAAUAUUACUUUCCUCAAUAAUUGAGUGCCUGCUUUGUGCCAGACAGUUCUAGGUGCUGACAUUCAGCAGUGAACAGACAAAACCCUUUACCUGAUGGAGUGGACAUUACAGUUGGGGGAAACAAUAUAAGUAGAAUACAUAGAAUAUUUGUGAUAACUACUGAGGAAAAACAGAGGAAAGGUAAUGAUUUGAUGUUUUUCGGGUUACAAGAGUGAUACAGAUUAAUAGUACUAUGCGUGUGCUAAGUUGCUUCAGUCGUGUCUAUUGUGUGACCCUGUGAACUGUAGCCCGCCAGGUUCCUCUGUCCAUGAGAUUCUCCAGGCAAUAGUACUAUAAAAUAUUACCAUUAAAAGAACAUCACAAAUGAGCAAUAGAUGAACUAAUAAAGAUGCAUAAUGACAAAACUAAUCAUAUUCUGCCAUAUCAUUUCACUCUCUCCUCCCUUGUAGCAGCCUGAUAUAUCUGUCUUUAUCCUUUAAUCACACAGAUAUGUAUACCCAAAUAUUACAGGGUGUUGUAUUUUUCUGCAGCUUUCUAAAAUGUGAUGUGUAUUGUGAGCCCCUUACAAGUCUGGACAUAUAUACAUCUCUUUUAAAUUCCUUAAUGUACAUACAUUUAUAUAAAUGAGAUUUUUUAGUGUGUCACUGGGAUUGUGUAUAUCCUCAGCAUCUUUUCUCAUUCAGUAAUGGAUGAUGAAAAUCCCUCCAGGUGUGUCUUUCAGCUCUUACUCUUUUUAAUGCUGCGUAAUACUGUAUGAUGAUGAAGACAUUAUUAAACCUCUUCCACGUUGAUGGGCAUUUACUUUGUGAGCAGAUUUUAGCUGUUACGGUCAUUGUGCCUGCGUGCAUAUUCAUGACCGUGAUAUUUCACUUCUAUGGAAUAGAUUCCCUGGAGUAGAAUUGCUGGGCCAAGGGAAUAUGUAGAUUUAAAAUUUUAAAAUAGAUAUUGACAGGUUGUUUCCCAAAAUGCCUGGACAGUUUAUAUUUCCAUAAGUAAAUGUAUGAAAAUACUCUUACCCUUUAUACCCAUUAGCAAUUUUUUUAAAAAGGAAAGGAAAAAUAAAAGGCUGGUGGUGGGUAUAGUGAUUUCUCAGUGUUAUUUUAUUUGCAUUUUCAAUACUACUGUAAAUCUGGACAAUUUUCCAUAUGUUCUUUGGUCAUUUGGAUUUCACUCAUAAUUAAAUGACCUAUUAUAUUGCUGCAUAACAAAUUACCACAAAUCUAGCAGCUUAAAACAGCACCCACUGAUUAUCUCACAUUUCUGUGGGUUUGAACUUCUUUCAAAGCAGGCUUUGAUUGGGCUCUCUAUUUAGUUCUCAAUAAGGCUGAAAUAAAGGUUUGUGCCAGUCUGGGCUUCUAACUAAAGGCUCUGGGGGAGAAUACAUUUCCAAGCUCAUUGAUGUUGGCAGAAUUCCAUUCUUUGGAGUUGUAGUAUGGUGUAGGAUGGAGGUCAAGUGUUGUUAUCAGCUCCUAGAAGCUUCCCUCCAGCCCUUGCACAUAGUCCCCUCCAUCUUCAAAGCUUGCAGGCAUUCAUCAAAUCCUCCUGCUUUGACUCUCUUUGUUUUCUGCUACCAGUCAUAGAAGACACCUCUUUUAAAGGACUCAUGUGACUAAGUUAGGUCCACCCAGAAAAUGUAUAUUAAAAUAUAUAUAUAUAUAUAAUAUAUAUUUAAAAUCUAUGUUAAAAUGACCUUUCUGUAUGUUAAGUUCAACUUGUUAGUAUCCUUAGUUAUAUCUGCAAAGUCUCUUUGCCCUGUAAAUGUAGCAUUAUCAUAGGAGUAACACCAGGGGCAGAGAUCAUGGGGACCAGCUAAGAAUUCUGCCUACCAUAAGGAUGUAUAUGUAUAUUUUAUUUAUAACUUUAUAUUCAUUUUAAUUUUUAUUCAUAUUUUUGCUUAUGGUUCUAUUGUGUUUAGCUUUUCAUAUAUUAAACCUUCCUAUUCUUGGUUGUAAACAUUUUUUCCUAACUCUUAUUAGCUGUCUGUUAAC